rnacentral:rRNA from 1 species
GUUUGAUCCUGGCUCAGGACGAACGCUGGCGGCGUGCUUAACACAUGCAAGUCGAACGAUGAACCAGGGCUUGCCCUGGGAAUUAGUGGCGAACGGGUGAGUAACACGUGGGCAACCUGCCCCAGACACCGGGAUAACCUCUCGAAAGAGUGGCUAAUACCGGAUACGACCACUUUGGGCAUCCAACGGUGGUGGAAAGGAUUCUGGUCUGGGAUGGGCCCGCGGCCUAUCAGCUUGUUGGUGGGGUAAUGGCCUACCAAGGCGACGACGGGUAGCCGGCCUGAGAGGGCGACCGGCCACACUGGGACUGAGACACGGCCCAGACUCCUACGGGAGGCAGCAGUGGGGAAUAUUGCGCAAUGGGCGAAAGCCUGACGCAGCGACGCCGCGUGAGGGACGAAGGUCUUCGGAUUGUAAACCUCUUUCAGCAGGGACGAAGCGAAAGUGACUGUACCUGCAGAAGAAGCACCGGCUAACUACGUGCCAGCAGCCGCGGUAAUACGUAGGGUGCAAGCGUUGUCCGGAUUUAUUGGGA